rnacentral:rRNA from 1 species
UACGAAGGGGGCUAGCGUUGCUCGGAAUCACUGGGCGUAAAGCGCACGUAGGCGGCUUUCUAAGUCAGGGGUGAAAUCCUGGAGCUCAACUCCAGAACUGCCUUUGAUACUGAGGAUCUUGAGUUCGGGAGAGGUGAGUGGAACUGCGAGUGUAGAGGUGAAAUUCGUAGAUAUUCGCAAGAACACCAGUGGCGAAGGCGGCUCACUGGCCCGGUACUGACGCUGAGGUGCGAAAGCGUGGGGAGCAAACAGGG